GCCUAACACAUGCAAGUCGAACGAGGCAAAUAAGUUGAAGUUUUCGGAUGGAUUCUUAUUUACCGAGUGGCGGACGGGUGAGUAACGCGUGGGUAACCUGCCUCAUACAGGGGGAUAACGGUUAGAAAUGACUGCUAAUACCGCAUAAGCGCACAGUACCGCAUGGUACGGUGUGAAAAACUCCGGUGGUAUGAGAUGGACCCGCGUCUGAUUAGCUAGUUGGUGAGGUAACGGCCCACCAAGGCGACGAUCAGUAGCCGACCUGAGAGGGUGACCGGCCACAUUGGGACUGAGACACGGCCCAGA
rnacentral:rRNA from 1 species